rnacentral:rRNA from 1 species
UACGUAGGGGUGCAAGCGUUAAUCGGAAUUACUGGGCGUAAAGCGUGCGCAGGCGGUUUUGUAAGUCUGAUGUGAAAUCCCCGGGCUCAACCUGGGAAUUGCAUUGGAGACUGCAAGGCUAGAAUCUGGCAGAGGGGGGGUAGAAUUCCACGUGUAGCAGUGAAAUGCGUAGAGAUGUGGAGGAACACCGAUGGCGAAGGCAGCCCCCUGGGUCAAGAUUGACGCUCAUGCACGAAAGCGCGGGGAGCAAACAGG